UUUCCAAUCAGCAAUCGGAUAACAUCAUCCCCAACAACCAACACAAUGCAUGGCCCACCCCUCCCAAAAAAAAUGUUGAUCUUGUUUGUCCAACAAAAAGUAAAAUAAAUCAUGCCUGUAACAAUUAGGACUCUCUGAAUUUAUCUACCUGUAACAACUCUGUGGUAUAUAUGGUGAGCAGUCCCUACCUCUACCUGACCUGCUGCUAAAAUCUUCACAUACAGCUUCUUGCUUUUGCUCAAGGCUGAAUUACUUUUGCUGCUGUCUGUCCUGCCUGAUACAUGAUGCAGUUAGUUGCAUGUCCACACCACUCCUCUUGACCUCUUCCCAUCAUUUUCUCCUUCUUUUUCUUUGAAAAGCUCCCAGUGUCACAAUCCACAUCAUGAAUAAAUAUGGGUGAUGCUGCAUCACCAGUAUCUAUAUAUGCUUUUUAUCCCUUCACUGGCAAGCACUACCUGUUCCUUUGCUUGUGUACUUGCGUCACACACCCCCACACAAGCCUGAUCUGGUGUACACUAGCUGAGGACAUGCCUUUUGCCUGUGGCAUACACAUGACACGAUGAUGGCAACAUAUACUGUCUACUGUACAUGCUGGCUGCACAUUCUGCUUAUUCCUUCUGGAUUGAUUGCUCCUGUUUUCUUCCCUGUUAUCACACAUGAAAGCAACUACAUCAUACAUGGCCUCUGAAUUUUCUUUCUUAUCCUACCUGCCUGGGGGGAAACAGAGCUACUUCUCGCCGUCCCUGUCAUCAUCGGUCCACAACCAUCAUCAUCAUCGUCGUAAAUUCAGCUGGUUGCAGUACUCAAGGCCCACGGACGGCGGCUCUAAGCUCACCGGUUACAACUGGUAGAUUCUGCACCAUCUUAACAUGCAUAUGCAUGCCACCUGCAGUCAUCUUCUUGCUUCCCUGUUUUUCUUUCUUCAAGAUGUAUAGAAUCUGCACAUUCAUUCAACAAAUCAAGCUAUCAUCACUCGUUUCAGCCUCCAGGUUCGCGGGGUACGUACCAUUGCCAGCAGAGGAGGAGCAACAUUCAGUCGCUUCAUACCACAAGGUACCAAUUUGGACAGAGCAGUGUACUGAUCUGUGACACUCUCAAAAGGCCCAUAUGGGGAAUAUGUUGCAAUAAGCCAUGAAACACAAAGAACCAUUUUUCAAGAAGCUUCCGGUCAUUUUCUACAUAACAACAAACAAAUUAUAUUAUUAUUAUUAUUAUAGCAUUAAAAAA
rnacentral:rRNA from 1 species